UAGCCAUAUCACAGUGAAAAACUAGUUCUUGUACAGUCACCAAAGUUAAACAAUGUUGAGCUUGGUCAGUACCAAGAUGGGUGACCGCUUAGGAAUACCUGGUGCUGUAAG